GGCAUACACAUUACAUACAAGCAGGUAGUACCUUUGUCACAGAUUUCUGCAGCCCCGUUUUCAUCUUUGAAAUUCAUGGCCGGAAGUUACUGUUUUCUUCUCCUCAGUGACGUACCGGGUCCCUUGCAGGCAAGCAAAGCUUCCUCUUCCGCUGCUCAGGGAGCCCGGUGACGUCACUGGCAGCAAAUGAAUCGAGGUGAAUAUUUAUGAGGGGCGGAGUUACAGCAGCUGGACGACAUCCCGCUAAGCCCCGCCCCUUAGCCCGCUAAGCCCCGCCCCUCCAGUCCGGUGAGCUUCAGAAUGAAUUGAGGUGAAUAUUGAGGAGGGGGCGGAGUUACAGCGGAGCAGAGAGACAGCUGUAACCGCCUGAUGCUGCGCUGCCCCAGGACCCACAGGGCAGUGCAGCCGGAAGUCAGGUAAAGAUAAACAGAUAUAUAAACAAUGAGUGGGGGACCGUUGGAGCCACAUAGAAGUGGCAAAAAUAGCUGAAAAUGUAUGGAGGCCUUUACUUAGAUGUACAUUGUGAGUAAACGUGUUUUUUUUU